rnacentral:rRNA from 1 species
UGGGGAAUAUUGGACAAUGGGCGCAAGCCUGAUCCAGCCAUGCCGCGUGAGUGACGAAGGCCUUAGGGUUGUAAAGCUCUUUUGGCGGGGAAGAUAAUGACGGUACCCGCAGAAUAAGCUCCGGCUAACUUCGUGCCAGCAGCCGCGGUAAUACGAAGGGAGCUAGCGUUGUUCGGAAUCACUGGGCGUAAAGCGCACGUAGGCGGACUUUCAAGUCAGGGGUGAAAUCCCGGGGCUCAACCUCGGAACUGCCUUUGAUACUGUUGGUCGCGAGUCCGGAAGAGNGGAGUGGAAUUCCUGGUGUAGAGGUGAAAUUCGUAGAUAUUAGGAAGAACACCGGUGGCGAAGGCGGCUCACUGGUCCGGUACUGACGCUGAGGUGCGAA